CGAGACUACCGCUCUUAGCCACUACACCACACUGGCUCUCAUAGUGGUGAGGAGGAAUGGAAGUUCCCCCAGAAUGUCUGCUUUAUAUACAUUAUUUACACAAUGGGCCCUAUGUGAUUGGCUAAUUCCCGGAUUCUCCUGUAGGCCAAUCAGGUUGCGAAUUCCCUUCCACCUGGAGCUGGAAUGGGUGGCUUCUGUGGACCAAUCAGACCCUUGCAUUCUGGAUCCUAUUGUUCUAGGACCAAUCAGACUGCUGCAUUCUGAAUCCUCUUGUUCUAGGACCAAUCAGACUGCUGCAUUUUGGAUCCUAUUCAACUCAGUACAUAACAGUAAGGAACUGUCUUUGUGUUUAUUGGUGCCUUUACUUCAGCUUUGAAAUUCUGCAACUCCCCUUCAGGAAGCAGAGCUUGUAGAAGACCCAUCUGCAGCCAUUCCAGGAUUGGAUGGAUUGUUAACCCAGUGGAUUACACCCUUCGUUGGUCUGCUGACUAGAUGCAGGCUCUUUUACACACACUCAGCAGCUGGGGAGUUAUUCUCACAAUAUCGGGGAGGGAAUGUAAAAACUGCAGUCGAGCCAUCAGAGCCUUUUGCAGCCAACAGGCAGCUUUCCUCUAUGCAGGAUGCUGACAGGGAAAGACCUAUGCAACCAGACCCACCUUUGCAAGAAUUGCCAGGCAUGGUCAUUCAAAGGGAAUUGGAGAAGUUUUUGAUGCAUCAAAAGUGCUUUCCUGGUUUCAAAAGUUAUCACAGGAAGAUUCCACCAUUUUGAGUUAGAAUAUCAGAGUUAGCUUGUUUUUCAUAUAUUUGAAAUGAAACUUGCUUAUACCAUAAAAACUAGGUGAAAGAAACCAAGUUGAACCAAUUCAAACAGGUUCCAGAAAGUAGCAGGUUUAAUCUACCAAGCUUUCACUAACUGGCAUCAUGUCAGUCUUGAGAGUUUGCAUCUUGCUCUUCUAAUCCUAAUGGGCCCAGCGCUGGAUGCUCACAUUCUCAAUCCCUAACCUGUGUUUCUAAGUUAAAAAUGAGUGAAUUAACUCUUCAAGGCCAUGACUCCAGCCCCUUCAAGGGCUGUCAUAAUAACUCUUUUAAUGAUUUGGGAAUCUCUGAUCCAAAGGAGGUCAGCCCAGCUUGUUAAAGUCUAUACAGGUAGUGUAGGAACUGUGAAGCAUCUGUAGAUUUGCCUUGCUUUGUAAGAACUAUUUAAAUAGUUUAAACAACCCUAUUUGAUUGAAAUAUGUGCAGUUCACAUCUUGAGCAAAAUUAACAAUUUCCUUAUUUCCCUCUACAAAAAUACAAAAAACACCCAAACUCUCCAUAACUCAAAUUUCGGGUUGAGAAUAAGGAAGAUAUAAACUGGGCUUUUUAGUGGCUUGCAAAAUAAUCUAGUUUGACCAUGGCAGCAGCUACUUCACAUGGAGGACAGGCCACAUACUGGGAGUCAAUGUACAAAUACCAUUGACCUGCAGCAGUCACAGUGCUUAACCCAUACCUUUCCCUCUCCCUCCCUCCCUCUCCCCCUCUCUCUCGAUCUCUGUAUUUACUGCAAUGAUUUUUCCUCCACUAGGUGCUGAAAUCUUGUGCUUCUGUGCCAGAGAUUAUUGAAAUCCUUUAUAAUUCUUACCCUCAUCUUCCCAUCUCUGAAAAAUGGCUGGAAGUCAUCCCAAAUGAAGAAUUUCAG
rnacentral:lncRNA from 1 species